rnacentral:ncRNA from 2 species
AUCCUAGAUGCUCGCGACGGUUUUCCCGAGAGGGAAUGAAAAGGGAAUGCGGUGCCUUGUCCCCAAUGCCGCGGCCGCCCCGCAACUGUGAGCGGAGAAUCCUUCGUCACAAGCCGGUGGGUCCUCGUUCCGGGACGGCGACGAAGCGGUGAUGAUCCGCGAGCCGGGAGACCUGCCGUCAUCCGCGGUCGCAC